rnacentral:rRNA from 1 species
GACAGAGGGUGCAAACGUUGCUCGGAAUUACUGGGCGUAAAGCGCGUGUAGGCGGCAAUACAAGUCGGAUGUGAAAUCCCGCGGCUUAACCGUGGAAGUGCACCCGAAACUGUAUCGCUAGAGUCCCGGAGAGGAUGGUGGAAUACUUGGUGUAGAGGUGAAAUUCGUAGAUAUCAAGUGGAACACCGGUGGCGAAGGCGGCCAUCUGGACGGUGACUGACGCUGAGACGCGAAAGCGUGGGUAGCAAACAGG